rnacentral:rRNA from 1 species
UACAGAGGUCCCGAGCGUUGUUCGGAUUCACUGGGCGUAAAGGGUGCGUAGGUGGCUUGAAAAGUUUGAUGUGAAAGCUCAGGGCUUAACCCUGAAAUGGCAUUGAAUACUGUCGAGCUGGAGGUUUGGAGGGGGGACUGGAAUUCUUGGUGUAGCAGUGAAAUGCGUGGAUAUCAAGAGGAACACCAGUGGCGAAGGCGAGUCCCUGGACAACACCUGACACUGAGGCACGAAAGCUAGGGGAGCAAACAGG